AUCGAUGAAGAACGCAGCGAAAUGCGAUAAGUAAUGUGAAUUGCAGAAUUCAGUGAAUCAUCGAAUCUUUGAACGCACCUUGCACUCCUUGGUAUUCCGAGGAGUAUGCCUGUUUGAGUGUCAUGAAAUUAUCAACUUCAUAGUUUUAUUACUUCGAAGCUUGGACUUGGAAGCUGCUGGCUUUGUUCGGCUCUUCUUAAAUAUAUUAGCUGCUUGUCCCGUGGGUUGGCUCAGAGUGUGAUAAUUAUCUGCACUUGGUGGCUGCCUGCAAGGAUGUGGCUUCUAAUCGUCUUCGGACAAUUUCUUAAGAUCUGACCUCAAAUCAGGUAGGACUACCCGCUGAACUUAAGCAUAUCAAUAAGCGGAGGAAAAGAAACUAACAAGGAUUCCCCUAGUAACGGCGAGUGAAGCGGGAAAAGCUCAAAUUUAAAAUCUGGCUGUCUUAGGCGGUCCGAGUUGUAAUCUGGAGAAGUGUUUUCUACGCUGGACCGUGUACAAGUCUCUUGGAAUAGAGCGUCAUAGAGGGUGAGAAUCCCGUCUUUGACACGGACUACCAGGGUUAUAUGAUACACUCUCGAAGAGUCGAGUUGUUUGGGAAUGCAGCUCAAAAUGGGUGGUAAAUUCCAUCUAAAGCUAAAUAUAGGCGAGAGACCGAUAGCGAACAAGUACCGUGAGGGAAAGAUGAAAAGCACUUUGGAAAGAGAGUUAAACAGUACGUGAAAUUGUUGAAAGGGAAACGCUUGAAGUCAGUCGCGUUAGUUGAGACUCAGCCUUGCUUUUGCUUGGUGCAUUUCUUAGCUGACGGGUCAACAUCAAUUUUGAUCAUUGGAAAAAGACCUUGGGAAUGUGGCACCUUCGGGUGUGUUAUAGCCCUUGGUUGUAUGCAAUGGUUGGGAUUGAGGACCGCAGUGCGCCUUUAUGGUCGGGGUUCGCCCUCGUUCGCACUUAGGAUGUUGGCAUAAUGGCUUUAAGCGACCCGUCUUGAAACACGG
rnacentral:rRNA from 1 species